ACACGCACGCUCACACACAUGCGCCAUAUAAGUGCAAUAAUCUUGAACGUGAUGUUAAGACCAAUUUCACCUCACCUUAUAGAGGUAUCAACUUAAAAACACUGCACACUGUGUAAAUUUGCUGCGUCACAAUGUAAUUCCCUUUCUCAGUUUCUGCACAUUAGUAGUACAACAUCUUGAUUAAACCCUUUUUGCAAAACAAACAAUUAAUUGAGCAUUUGAGUAAAUAUUGUUUAAUUUUCCUGUGUUGGCACCAAACCAUAUUGUUAUCAAAGAUAAUUUUUUAACCUUUGGAUCAUCAUCGUGGCAUUUAUUAUGGUAAUGAUAAGGUCAAAAGACAUUAGCAAAAGAUGCAAUGUUCAUGAUGUAGUGUUACCAUGGUUACUAUGAUAGCAGUUCAAAAGUCUUUGUAGGGUAAACAAAAGAUUAAUUCCUUGAGACAUAACCUCCACCCACUAACUUGAACUGUAGAUCCACUGACAAGUGUAUUUUGUUGGAUGGAAAACAUUUGAAAUGCUCCCUAAAUACUUGUAUUCAUCACAAUACUUUUGUUUCCAGUGUUGAAAGAAAGCCUUGAAAACCGCGGCGUGCUGGGACAGAUAAAAGCCAGGAUUCGAGCUGAAGUGUUUAAUGCUCUAGACGAUCAAUCCGAACAUAAACCUCCUCUUAGUAAUGAGAAUGUUCUCAUAAAUGAGUUGAUCAGGGAAUAUCUGGAGUACAACAAAUACAGAUAUGCAUCAUCCGUCUUAGUAGCAGGCCUCUGUUGUACAGCAUAGUGUCUCACUACGUCAACCGCCAUCCUCGUAGUACUGCUGCUUCACAGGGCCGAGCACCUCACAGGGAGGGGAAUCGAGGAACUUUUCAACAGCAGAUGGAAGAACAGUUAGGUGAGUAACAACAGCAUCCAUUGUGAAGAAAUAUGGUACGGUUGCCAUGGAAACUCAAAAAAUUUUUUUUUAAA